rnacentral:sRNA from 1 species
CAUACAUCCCAUCUUUCUCCCUCUUGGCCGACAUAGUCACUUCACCAUCUUCCCUCUCAUCUUCCUUUCUUUACCGUGCUUUCCCCAUCACUCCAUCAGACACACCAUCGACCAACCAUCGUCCUAGGUCCUAAAAUAGCAAAGAUUCCCUUCUUCAUCACCUUACACGGCACAGUUACUGUGCAUCCAUCUCUGAUGACGUAUCGUCAUCUCCGAUGAAGGUUUUAACUCGAAAAUCAACUCGGGAAGCAUUUUCCAGAAAUCUGGAAAUUCAAAACCGUGACUGUUUGGCCGUAUUCUAGACGCUUUUCCUGCCAAAGCACAGCUAGUUAGCCAUCGAGAAAGGCUGCCCAGAAAUUCCGGCGAGUCACUAGUUUUCCCGCGGACAGCUGUCUUUCAGGCCAUUUUCCGGCCACCUCCGGCCACCAUUUGGACUCCAAGCAGAGAUAUUUGACAUGGCAUACAUGUGGAUUUUGGUAUUUCGAGUAUGGUUUCAACAUAUGUUUUAGCUGCUGGAAAUUCGUAUCGAUGAGGAUUCUUGGCGAAUGUCAGUAUAAGUGACUACCUCUGAGGGUAUGAUCUUUACCCACACUACUGUACUUUACUACAUGUGAAGUGGGUGCAUACUCGCUCACCAGCGCUGUAACACCGCCCCGAAAAUAUUUAUUUUCGGCAAUAAUUAUUGGUAAUAGGCCCAAAAAUUCAAACUCUCGUCUAUUUAGCUGCCAAUCUUCACGACACUUUAAUUAAGUUCCUUAAUUUCACACGUUCUAUAACCUUAAUUCUCUUAACAAAGCAUAAUACAAUUUAUUUAUCAAUUUACUACCUUUACUGCACUUAAAUAAAUUUACGAUCUAAGAAUAAUUCUCAACUAAAAUAAAAUUCUCGAUUAUUUAAGGCUGCAUCUAACACUGUUAGACUGCCUACGUACCAUUGAGCGGGAUCAAGCUUCUCGUAGUUCACAUACAAUUCCCAAUUCACUAACUUUAACAUCUCAGUGACCAAUAAUCACA